CUCGUAGUUGGAUCUCAGUUACAGGCGGGAAGUGCGUGGACUGGUCACCACGUUACGGCCCGUGCUGAACAUCAUCCCUGUCGUGGCUUGGUUCCCUUCAUCAGGUGCCUUGCCUUCACCGGCGCGUUUACUUUGAAAAAAAUUAGAGUGCUCAACGCAGGCGAUUCGCCUCAAUAACAGUGCAUGAAAUAAUAGAACAAGAUCCUGUUUCUGUUCUGGUGGUUUUUGGAAUACAGGAUAAUGAUUAAGAG
rnacentral:rRNA from 1 species